rnacentral:rRNA from 1 species
UACAGAGGGUGCAAGCGUUAAUCGGAAUUACUGGGCGUAAAGCGUGCGUAGUCGGUUAUUUAAGUCGGGUGUGAAAGCCCCGGGCUCAACCUGGGAAUUGCAUUCGAUACUGGAUAGCUAGGGUUCGGCAGGGGGAAGCGGAAUUUCCGGUGUAGCGGUGAAAUGCGUAGAUAUCGGAAGGAACAUCAGUGGCGAAAGCGGCUUCCUGGACCAGAACUGACGAUCAGGCACGAAAGCGUGGGGAGCAAACAGG